UACGGAGGGUGCAAGCGUUGUUCGGAUUUACUGGGCGUAAAGCGCGCGCAGGUGGGUGACCAAGUCGGACGUGAAAUCCCUCGGCUUAACCGGGGAACUGCGUCCGAUACUGGAUGGCUGGAGGAUGGGAGAGGGAUGCGGAAUUCCAGGUGUAGCGGUGAAAUGCGUAGAUAUCUGGAGGAACACCGGUGGCGAAGGCGGCAUCCUGGACCAUUACUGACGCUGAGUGAGCGAAAGCCAGGGGAGCAAACGGG
rnacentral:rRNA from 1 species